GAUGAACGCUGGCGGCGUGCCUAACACAUGCAAGUCGAGCGAUUUACUUCGGUAAAGAGCGGCGGACGGGUGAGUAACGCGUGGGUAACCUGCCUCAUACACAUGGAUAACAUACCGAAAGGUAUGCUAAUACAGGAUAAUAUAAGAGAUUCACAUGGAUUUCUUAUCAAAGCUUUGGCGGUAUGAGAUGGACCCCGCGUCUGAUUAGCUAGUUGGUAAGGUAAUGGCUUACCAAGGCGACGAUCAGUAGCCGACCUGAGAGGGUUGAUCGGCCACAUUGGGAACUGAGACACGGGUUCCAAACUCCUACGGGAGGCUG
rnacentral:rRNA from 1 species